AUUCGUGUUUCAGUCGCCAAAUACAAAAAAAAAAAAAAGAUCAAGUGUAGUAUCUGUUCUUCUCAGUUUAAUACCUGGGACGGAAACGAUUCGUUUCCUCUAUGUAUUAAUCGGAUUUUUGAACUUGGAGUAUGGUGCUGGAGCUUGCUCCACCCUGCUCACGGGUUGUCCUGGUAUUGCAGUACCUCCAGGUUCGGCUCACGUUUC
rfam:Ciona savignyi cont_44007, whole genome shotgun sequence.